UUAACCUAUUCUGCCACUGCAGAGGGGUCAUUAGUGAUACAGAGGGCAAAGGACUUGCAGAACCUGGGCCUGGAUGGUGAUUUAUCAGGAGCACACACAGGGUGAAGAAUUUGGGCAGCACGGUGAGGCCGGGAAGUUACAUAAAACGCGCCAGACAGUGCACACACGCACGAAGUGAAGUAAACACCCCAAGAAGAAGUCAUCUGUGCCUUAUCGGUCACGGGGCCACACCCCUAACAACCUCACGCUUGCAGAAAUGACCCUAAGCAGUGCCCUUCAGCUCUGUCCUGAGGACCAUGGGCAGUGUUACGGUAGAGAUGGCCCAAAACAGGGAAGAGUCAGCAGAUCGGCUGUCUUUUCAUUUAAAAAAAGUUUUCCUGGGGUUGUGGAAGGAGUCCGAUGAGGCCUGCUUUUUCCAGUGCGCUUCCGAACUCCCUGUGGGUGUGGGUUGGGUGUGGGUCUGAUGCCUGGGACCCCUCCCCCAGAUCACCCUGCACCCUGAGAGAGCGCCUGAAAUGGAACCUUGGACUUUUCUCGCCUGUUUCUGCCUUUUCUUCCCUGCCCCCUCCCCAUUUUUAAAAGGCUUUAUAGAACGUCUCCAGGAGACGAAAAUAGCUCCGGUGGCGUGAGAGGCCUACACGCGGUGCAGCCGCGACGCAGCUCGGCAUGCGCGGCCACCCCCCAGAUCACCCUGCACCCUGAGAGAGCGCCUGAAAUGGAACCUUGGACUUUUCUCGCCUGUUUCUGCCUUUUCUUCCCUGCCCCCUCCCCAUUUUUAAAAGGCUUUAUAGAACGUCUCCAGGAGACGAAAAUAGCUCCGGUGGCGUGAGAGGCCUACACGCGGUGCAGCCGCGACGCAGCUCGGCAUGCGCGGCCACACAAGCAGGGGACCCCCAGCCUGGGCCCAGGCGCUUCCUUCCCCUCCCCCCUAAGCUUUGCGAGUGUAUUUUGCCCUGGCGGGGAUUGGCGACGGUCAAAAGGGAGCAGUUGGCACUGAAUGUCACCCUGAAGGGCUGGGAACACAGAUCAGCUGCUACCGGGUGUGCAGGACGGGGGAGCAGCUCCACGGCCCACUGCGAGCAGCCCUUUCAGCCCUGAGACUUUCCGAGAUCUCCUGUGCAUGCAGGAAGUUUCCUUCCCUGGCGUCAGAUGUAGCUCUGAGCUGUCGUCUUCAGAUCCGAGGAGCCGGGCUCCCUGCGGCACACGAGAGCGGCUUCCUUGAGACAUUUGUCCUUGAAACUGCACCAAACUCUUGGAAGAGCCUAGAACGCAGAGCUACAACUGAUUGGUUCAUCAGUGAACAGUAUCCAAUUAUGAAGAUGUAAGGAAGACGACCUCCACCGACACUGUCACAGCUUGAAAGGUGAGCUGUUCCCUGCAGGGUUGGGAAGCAGGAAUGUUCCUUAGAAACCCUGCUUACCUGUGCCUUCGCAUGGUAAGAUGCCCCUUGGCGUCUUGCUCCUCUGCCCCGAUUCCUC
rnacentral:lncRNA from 1 species